GUACUCCCUUUGGCAGGACAUACACUAAAAUUAGAACAGUACAGAGAAGAUUAGCACGGCCCCUGCACAGGAUGACAUGCAAAUUCAUGAAGCAGUCCAUAUUUUU
ensembl:snRNA U6 U6 spliceosomal RNA